rnacentral:rRNA from 1 species
GACGAACGCUGGCGGCGUGCUUAACACAUGCAAGUCGAACGGAAAGGCCCUGCUUUUGUGGGGUGCUCGAGUGGCGAUCGGGUGAGUAACACGUGAGUAACCUGCCCUUGACUUUGGGAUAACUUCAGGAAACUGGGGCUAAUACCGGAUAGGAGCUCCUGCUGCAUGGUGGGGGUUGGAAAGUUUCGGCGGUUGGGGAUGGACUCGCGGCUUAUCAGCUUGUUGGUGGGGUAGUGGCUUACCAAGGCUUUGACGGGUAGCCGGCCUGAGAGGGUGACCGGCCACAUUGGGACUGAGAUACGGCCCAGACUCCUACGGGAGGCAGCAGUGGGGAAUAUUGCACAAUGGGCGGAAGCCUGAUGCAGCAACGCCGCGUGCGGGAUGACGGCCUUCGGGUUGUAAACCGCUUUCGCCUGUGACGAAGCGUGAGUGACGGUAAUGGGUAAAGAAGCACCGGCUAACUACGUG